rnacentral:rRNA from 1 species
AACGAACGCUGGCGGCAGGCUUAACACAUGCAAGUCGAACGCACCUUUCGGGGUGAGUGGCCGACGGGGGAGUAACGCGUGGGAAUCUACCCUUCUCUACGGGAUAGCUCCGGGAAACUGGAAUUAAUACCGUAUACGUCCUGAGGGAGAAAGAUUUAUCGGGGAAGGAUGAGCCCGCGUUGGAUUAGCUAGUGGGUGGGGUAAAGGCCUCCCAAGGCGACGAUCCAUAGCUGGUCUAAGAGGAUGAUCAGCCACAUUGGGACUGAGACACGGCCCAAACUCCUACGGGAGGCAGCAGUGGGGAAUAUUGGACAAUGGGCGCAAGCCUGGUCCAGCCAUGCCGCGUGAGUGAUGAAGGCCCUAGGGUUGUAAAGCUCUUUCAGUGGGGACGAUAAUGACGGUACCCACAGAAGAAGCCCCGGCUAACUUCGUG